rnacentral:rRNA from 1 species
UACGGAGGGUGCAAGCGUUAUCCGGAUUCACUGGGUUUAAAGGGUGCGUAGGUGGGUUGGUAAGUCAGUGGUGAAAUCCCCGAGCUUAACUUGGGAACUGCCAUUGAUACUAUCAGUCUUGAAUACUGUGGAGGUUAGCGGAAUAUGUCAUGUAGCGGUGAAAUGCUUAGAUAUGACAUAGAACACCAAUUGCGAAGGCAGCUGGCUACACAAAUAUUGACACUGAGGCACGAAAGCGUGGGGAGCGAACAGG